ensembl:lncRNA
UAAAAAGAAAUAAUCUCAAGCUUUCCCGUUUAGAAGUGAAAUCCCUGGCUUUUCAUAAAUGGCUCGCUUUCCCUCACAGCACUAGAGCGAGUCCUCCUGAAGAAAAAACGACUUCGAAGUAUAAGUAAGAGCGAAGGGUGUGAGACAGAGGUUUGGGGCGUCCUAGGGGGCAACUUGGCCUGAGAAGUCUUAUCGCGAGGGGCCUUUCUCCAUCAAAAAGACAGAAAGCCCAUGUCCUCUGCCCAGCGCUGGAGCCCCGCUCAGGUUUACAGAUGCGGCGUGCGGGAGAGGAGUGGGCGGCCCACAACGAGUGUGGACGAGAAGGAGCUGGCCUCGAGAGCCUUUUCACUUCUUUAAAAAGAAAAGAAAGAAAAAGCUUCUGAGCGCAAACUUCGAAAAGUCAGGCACCAAAGUCGCGCAGAAAGGUGUCUAUCACUGCGAACGUGGUCCGGCCAUCAAAUGGGUAGCGCCUGUUCCCGACCUUUGCCCUCAAGGUUUCCUGCGCCUCCAGGACAAGCGACCUCCAGAGGAAGGACCUGUACUUAGCGUCCGCCAUUCUGUUUUCCCGGCGUCACCGUCGAAGAGUUAGAUACUCCUCACUAGAAAGGGAGACGAAGUGUCGUUGGCACCGAUUUCAGGUACGUGGAAACCGCCCUUCUCUGGGCGCAAACCUCACCAUGUCACCAGUCAAUGGAAUUACGCUCCGUUUAUUAAAUUGAUGCAACCUCCAGGUCACCCACCUACGCCUGAGUCUGGCCUCUGGAAUCCACAAAAAGCCACCCCACUCCCCAGUGACUCUGAGAUUAUGACCACCAGUCCAGUCUGACGGCUCUAGAAGCAAGAGCCGGACUCGCGGGCGCAAAGCAAGGAAUCCUCCUUUUUGAAGUCCAGGAAAAGUUCUCUGCAGCUAUUCCCAAGUUCCGCCCUCGUGGAGCCCCUGCCCCUCCCUCCAACCCGCCCUCCCGAUUAACAACCCCAUCCCCACCCUCACCACACAGGGAUGCAGGGGACAUUCCCUGCUCACCUGGAGCGGCUCGCCAGUGCCCCGAGGCGCCCACACUCGCGAAGGCCGAGAAGGGGAGGUGGGGGGGAGGCCUGUGUCCCACAGGCCAGCGAAGAGCGCGUGGCGGGUAGGAGAGGAGGGUGUCUCUGAGAGGGACGCUCCCUCUGGCCCGCCCCCCACCCGCACUGCGAGGACGCCCCCAAGGAGUCGCGCGCCCUGCCUGGAUCCGCUAGGGCUGCGGUGUGAAUGGAGCCGCCGAGACUCCUGACUCCUCCUCCUCCCCCGCCGCCGGCCCUCUUAUUUGAGCUUUGAGAAGCUGGGGGCAGCCAGGCAGCUGGGGUAAGGAGUUCAAGGCAGCGCCCACACUCGGGGGCUCUCGCAACUCGACCGCCUAUCCGCUCCCCCCUUCCCUCCCUCCCUCCCACUCAUUCACUCACCCACCCACCCAGAGCCCGGACGGCAGCCCAGGAGCCGGGGCCCCGCCGCCUCCUCGCCGCGAUCCUGGACUUCCUCCUGCGGCAAGAGCCGGCGUCCACGUGUGCCCCGGAGCCGGCGUCUUCGCACGCUCCGGCCCGGGCCUGGGUGC